rnacentral:rRNA from 1 species
AAAUAAAAUAAUAUUACUAAUAUAAUAUGCCCCAAUUAAGGGGUAAUGAGCCAAUAUUAGGGCUUAACAUCGAGCUAGAGUAGUACUGGGAAGGGUGACCGCCCGAGAAUUCCUAGUGUUUUACAUA